GAAUUCAAGGUGAGGCUACAAAGAUUCAAAUCCAGGUGGACAGAAACUGACAAAAAUCUUUGGAUAAAUCCCACUUGACUGAAACUCAAAACUUUCAUCAUCGUUCUCACUUUAAAGCCUCCAGCUACCAACUCCUAAUGCUUUUACUUGGCAAUCACAGACUAGAAAUGGCUACACAGAUUAACACAAGAAGACACACCAUGGGAGGGACCUGUGUGUACAGAAACCCUCCUUGCCCCCAAGAGGGGAAAUGAGAUUUUGAGGAGGUUUCUGUACAUCAUUCUUCCGUCACAGACUUGGAUUUGGCAUAGAACAUGCACUAGAACUGGUUAUUUGAGUGGAAAAUGUGAUCCUGGCUGUGCAUGGACUUCAUGAACUCUUCACCAGGAAGCAGCCAGCCCAGAAGAGAUAAGUACUUUGAAUAAAGCUCCACCAUCCUCUGGAAGCAGGAAGACCUUGGUCUCCCAUCUGUUCCACUUAGCGUUGUCCUUUUCCCUUUGCUGGUUUUAACUUUCUCAGUUUUAUAAAGUCCACAAUUUUCCUCAGCCUGCACAAUUAUUAGCAAGUGCCAUGUCCCUCAGAGUGCAGUGCCAAAAGACAGCUGUUUCCAGCGCAGUUCCUACCAGAGUGGCCAGGGAGUGGUUAUGUUGUUCUGCUGAUCAGCCUGCACCUUCACAAGCUUGACCAACACUGGCUUUGUCUUUGUGCCAUAGAGCUGAUCUUUAAUGUACCUCCAGCUACUAAAAAUGGCCAUAAUACCCAGUAUAAUAAAUAAAUAUAAAAAUAUAAUAAAACUAGAACUGCAUAUUGUGAAGAAAAAAUAGAGUUGAUUGGGAGUAUGGAGAGUGUAGUGCUGUCCACCCACCCUGUAGAGACUGGAAAGAGACGUUUAUUGGAAGGAGGUUUCCAGAGUCUGGAAAGAAUGUUCACUGUCAUGUGUUUAACUUUCAUUUGAUUCCUGCCCUAUGCAAUUAGCUGUCAAAAGUAGUAUUCAGAUAUCUUAUCUGCUAUUAUGGUUCAGCAUAUUUUGUUCACUUGAAAUAAACCAGAUGCAAUUUAUUUA